rnacentral:rRNA from 1 species
AACGUAGGACGUAAGCGUUAUCCGGAGUUACUGGGCGUAAAGCGCGGGCAGGCGGUCGGUCAAGUCUGAUGUGAAAUCUCUCCGCUCAACGGGGAGCAGCCAUUGGAAACUGGGCGACUGGAGUCUGGCAGAGGUAGGCGGAAUUCCGGGUGGAGUGGUGAAAUGCGUAGAGAUCCGGAGGAACACCAGAGGCGAAGGCGGCCUACUGGGCCAGUACUGACGCUGAGCCGCGAAAGCCAGGGGAGCGAACGGG